GACGAACGCUGGCGGCGUGCUUAACACAUGCAAGUCGAACGGCAACGCCCUACUUUUGUGGUGUGCUCGAGUGGCGAACGGGUGCGUAACACGUGUAUAACCUGCCCUACACUUUGGGGUAACUUCACGUAACUGGGCUUAAUACCGUAUAGCAGCCCCUGCUCCAUGGUGGGGGUUGGAACUUUUCGGCGGUCGGGGAUGGACUCGCGGCUUAUCAGCUUGUUGGUGGGGGAGUGGCUUACCCACGCAUUGGACGGUACCCGGCCUGAGAGGGGGACCGGGCACAAUGGGACUGCGAGACGGACCAGAGGCGUACGGGAGGCAGUAGGGGGGAAUAUUGCACAGUGGGCGCAAGUCGGAGGCAGAAACGUUGCGGGUGGGAUGACGGCCUGUGGGUUAUGAACCGCUUUCGCCUGUUACGAAGCUGGUGUGACGGUAAUGGGUAAAGAAGCACCGGCUAACUACGUG
rnacentral:rRNA from 1 species